UACAGAGGGUGCAAGCGUUAAUCGGAGUUACUGGGCGUAAAGGGUGCGUAGGCGGUAAGAUGAGUGCGAUGUGAAAGCCCCGGGCUUAACCUGGGAAGUGCAUCGCAAACUAUCAGACUAGAGUAUAUGAGAGGGUGGCGGAAUUUCCGGUGUAGCGGUGAAAUGCGUAGAGAUCGGAAGGAACGUCAAUGGCGAAGGCAGCCACCUGGCAUAAUACUGACGCUGAGGCACGAAAGCGUGGGGAGCGAACAGG
rnacentral:rRNA from 1 species